rnacentral:rRNA from 1 species
AGAGUUUGAUCCUGGCUCAGGACGAACGCUGGCGGCGUGCUUAACACAUGCAAGUCGAACGGUGAUCCGGAAGCUUGCUUUCGGUGAUCAGUGGCGAACGGGUGAGUAACACGUGAGUAACCUGCCCCUGACUCUGGGAUAACCGUUGGAAACGGCGGCUAAUACCGGAUAUGAAACGCCUUCGCAUGGGGGUGUUUGGAAAGAUUUUUUGGUCAGGGAUGGGCUCGCGGCCUAUCAGCUUGUUGGUGGGGUGAUGGCCUACCAAGGCGACGACGGGUAGCCGGCCUGAGAGGGCGACCGGCCACACUGGGACUGAGACACGGCCCAGACUCCUACGGGAGGCAGCAGUGGGGAAUAUUGCACAAUGGGCGAAAGCCUGAUGCAGCGACGCCGCGUGAGGGAUGAAGGCCUUCGGGUUGUAAACCUCUUUCAGCAGGGAAGAAGCGAGAGUGACGGUACCUGCAGAAGAAGCGCCGGCUAACUACGUGCCAGCAGCCGCGGUAAUACGUAGGGCGCAAGCGUUGUCCGGAAUUAUUGGGCGUAAAGAGCUCGUAGGCGGUUUGUCGCGUCUGCUGUGAAAACCUAAGGCUCAACCUUGGGCUUGCAGUGGGUACGGGCAGACUAGAGUGCGGUAGGGGUGACUGGAAUUCCUGGUGUAGCGGUGGAAUGCGCAGAUAUCAGGAGGAACACCGAUGGCGAAGGCAGGUCACUGGGCCGCAACUGACGCUGAGGAGCGAAAGCAUGGGGAGCGAACAGGAUUAGAUACCCUCGUAGUCC